UACGAAGGGUGCUAGCGUUGUUCGGAAUCACUGGGCGUAAAGCGCGCGUAGGCUGUUUUGCAAGUCAGGGGUGAAAUCCUGGGGCUCAACCCCAGAACUGCCUUUGAAACUGCAAGACUUGAGUGUCGGAGGGGAUAGCGGAAUUGCUAAUGUAGAGGUGAAAUUCGUAGAUAUUAGCAGGAACACCGGUGGCGAAGGCGGCUAUCUGGACGACAACUGACGCUGAGGCGCGAAAGCGUGGGGAUCAAACAGG
rnacentral:rRNA from 1 species